AGGGCAGUGACUCAGUGACUUCGCUUGGAGAGGGCCAGGCUGCAGCAUAACUCAAGACUGACUAUCCCCCACCAAAUGCCAGCUCCCUUUGGCUGCAAGUACAGAAUACAGGGUCCACUUAGACCAGAAAGCCGCCAUCGGCUGGGGAAGGAAGACAGAGGCCUGCAGGCUCUCACCUCAACCCGUGCCUGAAGACCAGGAAGGACAGCUCUUGAGCCUCCCGAGUGGCAUGUUUUCUUUCCAACCCUGGGAUCUUGAACCUACUACGUGGCAGCUCAGUGGGUGCUUAGGAAAGAUUGCUACCAAUGGCCACUUGCUUCUGGAUGGAGCCAGGGCGAACCAAGACGGGAAACACCACAGCACACCCAGCCCUCAAAUACAUGUCACUCUCAAUGGC